GACGAACGCUGGCGGCGUGCUUAACACAUGCAAGUCGAACGGUGACGACAGGGCUUGCCUUGUCUGAUCAGUGGCGAACGGGUGAGUAACACGUGAGUAACCUGCCCCAGACUCUGGGAUAACCCCGGGAAACCGGAGCUAAUACCGGAUAUGACCCUCGCAUGCAUGUGCAGGGGGUGGAAAGUUUUUCGGUCUGGGAUGGACUCGCGGCCUAUCAGCUUGUUGGUGAGGUAGUGGCUCACCAAGGCGACGACGGGUAGCCGGCCUGAGAGGGCGACCGGCCACACUGGGACUGAGACACGGCCCAGACUCCUACGGGUGGCAG
rnacentral:rRNA from 1 species